rnacentral:miRNA from 1 species
GCAGACACAUUCCAGCCAGUCAGCAGCAGACCCUCCCUCCCAGACCCUCCCACCUCCUGGACAGCUCACUAAGAAUGCAGAUUCACAAUGAAUGUAAAAUGGAUGCUGUCCAGGAGGUGGGAGGGUCUGGGAGGGAGGGUCUGCUGCUGAUUGGCUGGAAUGUGUCUG